rnacentral:rRNA from 1 species
ACUCCUACGGGAGGCAGCAGUGGGGAAUAUUGCACAAUGGGCGCAAGCCUGAUGCAGCCAUGCCGCGUGUAUGAAGAAGGCCUUAGGGUUGUAAAGUACUUUCAGCGGGGAGGAAGGUGAUAAGGUUAAUACCCUUGUCAAUUGACGUUACCCGCAGAAGAAGCACCGGCUAACUCCGUGCCAGCAGCCGCGGUAAUACA